GGAAGGGGUGUAUUUAUUAGAUUAAAAACCAAUGCCCUUCGGGGCUCUCUGGUGAUUCAUAAUAACUUCUCGAAUCGCACGGCCUUGCGCCGGCGAUGGUUCAUUCAAAUUUCUGCCCUAUCAACUUUCGACGGCUGGGUCUUGGCCAGCCAUGGUGACAACGGGUAACGGAGGGUUAGGGCUCGACCCCGGAGAAGGAGCCUGAGAAACGGCUACUACAUCCAAGGAAGGCAGCAGGCGCGCAAACUACCCAAUCCCGACUCGGGGAGGUAGUGACAAUAAAUACUGAUACAGGGCUCUUUUGGGUCUUGUAAUUGGAAUGAGUACAAUUUAAAUCCCUUAACGAGGAACAAUUGGAGGGCAAGUCUGGUGCCAGCAGCC
rnacentral:rRNA from 2 species